GGGCGGGCUUACAUGGCAGUCGAACGGACUCAUAUUGAAACCUAGUGAUUUAUGAGUUAGUGGCGGACGGGUGAGUAACGCGUGGAUAACCUGCCGUAUACCGGGGGAUAACACUUAGAAAUAGGUGCUAAUACCGCAUAAGCGCACGGCUCCGCAUGGGGCAGUGUGAAAAACUCCGGUGGUAUACGAUGGAUCCGCGUCUGAUUAGCUAGUUGGCGGGGUAACGGCCCACCAAGGCAGCGAUCAGUAGCCGGCCUGAGAGGGUGGACGGCCACAUUGGGACUGAGACACGGCCCAAACUCCUACGGGAGGCAGCAGUGGGGAAUAUUGCACAAUGGGGGAAACCCUGAUGCAGCGACGCCGCGUGAGUGAAGAAGUAUCUCGGUACGUAAAGCUCUAUCAGCAGGGAAGAAAAUGACGGUACCUGACUAAGAAGCCCCGGCUAACUACGUGCCAGCAGCCGCGGUAAUACGUAGGGGGCAAGCGUUAUCCGGAUUUACUGGGUGUAAAGGGAGCGUAGACGGCAGCACAAGUCUGGAGUGAAAUCCCGGGGCUUAACCCCGGAACUGCUUUGGAAACUGUGCGGCUGGAGUGCAGGAGGGGUAAGCGGAAUUCCUAGUGUAGCGGUGAAAUGCGUAGAUAUUAGGAGGAACACCGGUGGCGAAGGCGGCUUACUGGACUGUAACUGACGUUGAGGCUCGAAAGCGUGGGGAGCAAACAGGAUUAGAUACCCUGGUAGUCCACGCCGUA
rnacentral:rRNA from 1 species